rnacentral:rRNA from 1 species
AGAGUUUGAUCAUGGCUCAGGACGAACGCUGGCGGCGUGCUUAACACAUGCAAGUCGAGCGGAAAGGCCCUUCGGGGUACUCGAGCGGCGAACGGGUGAGUAACACGUGAGCAAUCUGCCCCUAGCUCUGGGAUAGCUCCGGGAAACCGGAAUUAAUACCGGAUACGACCACUCUAGGCAUCUUCUGUGGUGUAAAGGGU